rnacentral:lncRNA from 1 species
AGUCACACGGCAUGGCUCGUGUUGCUCUGUUUUAGAGAAACUCUGGCAGGAUGAUGACACUGCUGCAAAAAGAGAUCAGCAAAGCCAGGUCCGACCCAUAAGUCCUGAUGCUUUCCGAAACCAGAAGUUACUGAACAUAGACAGCGUUUGUGACUAUGAAGAAACUGGAGAACCCCACCUCAUUUCUACACAAUAUGUACCUCCAAGAGCAAAUAGUGACAAUCAAAGCAAUACCAUAGAGCAGCUCAAUGAUAUUAUCGGAUCUCAUCAGUGUUUUACACAAGGUUCUUCUAAUGACAUAUGCACAGUUCCCCCUCAAAGAGAGAAAUCAUACAAUGAGAGUCAGUUUGGAAACAUUCUUUCUCCUAAUCUGCCACUUAUGGAUCAUGAAAUUAAUUUUCAAGACAAACCAGUUGGAUAUACUGGAUGUGGGAAGGUCUUCACUGGUGAGGUGGUUUUCUGUGAACAGCAAAUAACUAACAAU